UACGGAGGGUGCAAGCGUUAUCCGGAUUUACUGGGUUUAAAGGGUGUGUAGGCGGGCAGGUAAGUCAGUGGUGAAAUCUCCGGGCUCAACCCGGAAACUGCCAUUGAUACUACAAGUCUUGAAUAUUGUGGAGGUGGGCGGAAUGUGUCAUGUAGCGGUGAAAUGCUUAGAUAUGACAUAGAACACCAAUUGCGAAGGCAGCUGGCUACACGAAUAUUGACACUGAUGCACGAAAGCGUGGGGAUCAAACAGG
rnacentral:rRNA from 1 species